UUGGUCUUGGAAGGGAGCCUGAAGAACAAAAUCUUGUUCCAAGCUGAGCAAUCUUCCCCCAGAGCGUGCUGCUCAGAGCCCUGUUCCCAAGGAUGGGGCAUGCACAGCCUCUGUGCACAGCCUAGGCCAGUGCCCCACCACCCCCAGUGGAAAAGAGCAGCUUCCUUAGAUGCAGCUUCCAUCAACCUGCUGCAGCUGAAAGCCAUCCCCCUUGUCCUGUCAGCACAGGCCUUGCUGAACACUCUGUCCCCUUCUUUCCUGCGGGACCCUUCCAGUCCUGCAGAGCCACAGUGAGGCCUCACAGUGUCUCCUCUCUCCAGGCUGAGCAUCCCCAGCCCCACUUGCCCAGCAGUCAGUCACAUCAGGGCCAGUCAAGGCUGAAGGGUAGCAAAUAGCAUCAGGAACUGAGAGAUGCAAGCUUUAGACCCAGGUUUUUCUGUUUGAAAGGAAGCUUGGCACAAUGUCCAUUGUCUUCUCCAUUUGUGAAACACCAAGCGGAGUCUGGGCAGGCUGAUACGCAGAGCAAAACCUGAAAAUAUACUGGUGAUCCUGAGCCUAGGGGAUGCAGCUACACCCAGCCAAAAGGAAUUUCUGAAAAGAUGAUCCUGGUUUACAUUAUCUUGAGUUUGGCUUUGCCAACUUCACCAGUCAGUUGUGAAAAUGCAAACAAAAAACUCAAACCAAAUCAGACAAAAACCCAAACAAACAAACAAACCCAUGCAGCAAACCAAUCAAACAAAUAGAUAAAAAACCCCCAAAUAAAACCAAAGGGAAUGAGGAGUUAGUAUUAGUAGUGAGAAUAGCACAGCAGACAAAUUGCUGCUUCCCACAGGAUCAUCAUCAGAAGCCACAUAGAACAGCUGCUCCAAAAUAUACCCAACAGGAGAAAAAGAAAAAGUGAUCCAUGGCAACUUUGGGGGCAGCUCCACAUUCAGGCGAAGGAUGAGCACGCAGUGGUACAGAUCCAGCAUUGCCCACCCUCCAGGCUGCUCUUUGCUCCUGAUGAAAGACCCUUGCAGGACUGUGGCCCCUCUCAGUGCAGUGUCAGUCAUUCCCAGAGUUCUCAGCUGAGCCACUGGCAUUUGCAGAGAGACAUCCAGGCACAAUCCUGCUGCCUGCUGAGCAUCUGUGGAAGAUCCUGAGCAUCUUCAUGCCUAGCAGCACAAAACAGCUCAGGAUUUCUCUGAACUGCAUUUCAGGAGAGGUUUCCAUAUCCCUGUGAGAUCUGUUCAUCCCUCAACACGUCUGACUUGAUGUACAAUGAUGCAUUUGGGUUCCUUCCUUCCUCCUGUGUGCCAGUGAGAAACCAUCCAUGGGAAUGGAGGAUGUUGUGUGCAGGGCAAUGUAUUCCUGGCUUGCCAUUUUGCUUCACUGUCACUCAGCUGAACAUGGUCCUUAUCUAAGAAGGACUUCGGAGAAAUGGGUAGGAAUUUUGGCUCUGAGAGGAGCAGAAAGCAUAUUUUCUAGACCACAUUGCCAGCAGAUGCUGUUUCCCUGGCAGAACAGUGAUUGCCACUCAUCUUCCUGGGAAGAAUGUCAAGACCCAUUCAGAGAUCCCAGGUUCAGCUGGCCUUUGGCUUUGUCUACCUCAUUUCACACAUCCACUUUCAAGGGCCAUUAGAAGAGGCACAUGUCUGCCUUGCUACCCAGAAGUGCUGUAGUUAUUCCCAGGAAAAAAAAAAAACAAAAAUUGGCGGUCCUGUGGUGUGGUAGAAAUCCCAUCACAACUGUGACUCUGUGAGCAAAGACAGCCGGUGCUUUUUGGGGCUGUAACAGCUGAGAGUGUGGCAGAGCAGGUUUGAUAUUCUUUUUAGAGUCCUGAAAACAUUGUUCCCAAAACAAUCUUUCUCUCCUGUCUUCUGUCAUCAACUGUGGAACAGAGGAAAUGGAAGGGAUCAGAGGUUUGUUUAAAUUUGUGCUUAUUUUUAAGUCUUCAAGUAGUGUCAGCUCGAUGCGUGAUACUUUAGAAAUUGGAUGAGUAGCACCUAUUUCAUCCCAGCGAGAGGUGGGAUUGAAGACUUCCAACAACAGAAACACUGGAUGUGCAGGAGCUCAGUUUUCCACCCCUCACACAAGUAACUUGCUGUACUAUUUUCAGCAUCCUCAGCCAGAUCGAUUAAAAUACUGCUCCAAACAACAACAGAAUGAAAAUCUUCCACCAAAUGGGGAAAAGGAAGAAAAGUGGGCCGCAGCCCUUUCUUCAGAGCUUGUGUUGAUUUUGCCAAGUCAGAUGCAAACAAGGUUUGCCAUAUUUCUUUCCUAGAAAAAUGCAGCUAUUGAAUAGAAAUCUAUCUCUGAGGCUGCUAAGUUUGGUCCGAUUUUAGAGCUGGGAGGAGCAAAACAGGUUCCAGAGAAGAUGUGGUUGUGUCACCCUUGGAAGUGUUCAGGGCCAGGUUGGAUGGGGCUUGGAGCAACCUUAUUAGCGGAAGGUGUCCUGAGUCUGAUGAGUCCCUGAAAAGAAACUUUUGGUUUUCCUGAAAUGCUGCCUUUGCAAGGGGAGGUCACAACUACCCCACGUAAUUUGAAAUGCCCUGAGCAGAACCCAGCUGUGUUUUCUCACAGGUGAGGAGGGAUUUUCACUUGUAUUUUAUGGGGGAUUUUCACAGGGCAGAGCAAGAGCAGCUGAAUGUGUCUGACAGGCAAAGAGGGCCAGUGUGGCAGCAGCUUAAUUCCAUGGAGCUUUUCCUUCUGUGAUCCUGUACAACCUAAGGCAGCACUCUGGGGCUCUUGAACCUGGCAGCUGGGCAAGUUAAUCAUUGGAACAAGUGAUAAAUUAAGCUGAUCCACUCUCUUGAGCAUGGGUGUGAUGAGCCUUAAGUAAACCUGUGAGCACUUGUCAGGAUGGGAGCUUGUUCUUUGCCAGGGAGGAGGGAGAAAAUAUUGCUUGGAGUAAAUAAAGCAACUCUGCUUCCCCUGGAAGAGGAAAAGAAGGAAUUAAAUAUGUGAAUGCUGCAUGGAGUCAUUUGCACAAGGCUAUAUCUUGUCUGCUAUGCAGGAAUGUUCUCAAUAAACCCUGCUUCUCCUGACCAUUAUUUUUCUGGGUUUCCACCACAUGAUACAAGAGACUCUCAAUAGACCCCUGUCUCCCCACCCCCAGCGCCGCAGCCUCCCCCAGAGGAUGUUCCACGAGAUCGACCCCAGAGCCUGACACGGGGACGGGGGGCCGAGGCCCUGGGGGGUGGGACAGGGGGACAGGGACCCCCGGCAGCGUCCCUGUAUCCCCCAGGGCCAGAGCCUGGGCAGGGCUCCUUCAUCCUCUUACAAACGAGGGCUUGAGAACACUGAAAAAAUCCCAGGAAAGAUAUCAGCAAAAAACAUAUUUGAUAUUAAGUGACAGCACCACAAAAAUUCCUCGGCAAGAGUCACUCUGCUCCUGACUGAACACUUCAGGCACACCGAGAAAACAAUCCAACAACAAAACCAUACCAUACCAAACCAAACCCAGGCAAUCAAACCAGAAAUGAGUAACAAAUCCUAUGGAAAAGGUGGUUUUCAAUCCUGUGGAAAAGAACUGUCCCUCUUGGCCAGGUGAUCAUUGCCAAAACUGAAGUUUCACCUCCAACAUUCCCUGUUGUGACAGGCUGGAGGAGAUUGUUGGCUGGAAACAUCUUGUGUGUGGGGGAGGAAGAAGCAGGUCCUGCCUUGCCCUGCCCCAGAA